rnacentral:misc_RNA from 1 species
GCAGGAGCCGAGCUUGCUCGCGAUGACGUCGGCAUAUUCAACAUCAAGGUGACUGGAAGACCGCAAUCGCGAGCAAGCUCGGCUCCUAC